ACAAAUGGGACACUUCUAUUCGGAAGAACGUUAAAACAGUAGAGUAUGUUGCAUAAAUAUAGAUCGUUAUCGAAAAUAACUUGCACACUAAUGACAUACAAGAUUCAACACAACGAGACAACCUAGAUUUCUCUCAGAUAACAUUUAGAAAAAUCGACUGUGAUAUCUUGUUCGUAAAUUUUUAAAUAGAUAUAAAAUUAUUUCAUACGAGUGAACUAGAUCUAGAAACUUACAUCAUGCCCAUUAAUAAUAUUCAUACAGGGCGAUUCAAAACAACCUUCGCCCCGCUGUCAAUAUUCUGUGCUUUCUACUGCUAAAAUUAUCAUGAUAUAAUUAGGUAUGUAAAGUAUCUCCUGUUUCUGGAUUUUCCUCUCGUUUCGAACCACCCUGUUUAUCUGAGGAAUUAUGUUAAAAAAUUCAGACAUGAUGAAUAAGAUCAUUCCUGAACAUCGGUGGGGUUAAUCGGAUUUCUGAAUUUAUGUAGAUACGUAACGAAAUUUAUUUUUUGAAGAUAUUUUUUCGGACGUCAUUCAGGGUUAGAGUUUUAAAAAAGAGUAGAGUUCAUAAAAAAUUCAUCAUUAAUGUAAUUAUUUUCUAGUGCCACGUUCUUGUUGAUUUUCUAAUCACCCAAGAACAAGAAAAAAUACAAUCCUCAAAACAAUUGUUUCCAAUGAAUAUCCAGUACCUAACUGUUAGUGUAUAUGCUUUGAAAAUCGGUAAAUAUUGCCUGACUAUUCAAAUGAGUUAUCUUCGAUGAGAAAUACUUAUUUAAAUUCAUUACCGGUUUGUUAAAAGUAAACAGUGAGAAUAAAGGUCAAGACGUUCUUCACAUUUAUAAAUAGAAGCGAAGAAAUCCCACGUAUGUUAGAAAAAUAUUGACCAAAGAAACAAGUUGAAGUUAUCAUCUUUCAUCAUUCAAAAAUGAAAACUGAGCUGCUAUUGUUAUUUUUCUGUGCAAUGUCACAGGUCAUCCCUCUCACCAACGCAAAGUGUGAGUGUUUCGAGGAAUUCCAGGUCGAGAAAGAAAAUGGAGAGGAGAUAUGCAGGGGAGUGAAGCACUAUAGAAUUUUUCGAUGUGGGGAAGAAAAACCUCCAAUUUGUCAAUGUCGCCGUGGCGGCAUUGUUGAUGUUAUGGAUAUUGGCGAAACUUCUUGCACUGCCCCGGAAAAACAAUAUGAUAGUGUAUACUGUGAACCCAAAGAAGCUUGGGAGCAAUAUUUCAAUAGGUAUCCUAGUCGCAGGUUGUAUCAUUGAGAUUGUGAGCCAAAUGUCCAAGAGGAAACAAUUCCAUCAGUAUUUCAAGGUGUCAAUCAAUUAAUUGCAUAUUAAAGUUUACAGUUUCA